rnacentral:rRNA from 1 species
UACGUAGGGUGCAAGCGUUGUCCGGAAUUAUUGGGCGUAAAGAGCUCGUAGGCGGUCUGUCGCGUCGGAUGUGAAAACCCAGGGCUCAACCCUGGGCCUGCAUUCGAUACGGGCAGACUAGAGUUCGGUAGGGGAGACUGGAAUUCCUGGUGUAGCGGUGAAAUGCGUAGAUAUUGGGAGGAACACCAGUGGCGAAGGCGGCUCACUGGACCGGUACUGACGCUGAGGCGCGAAAGCGUGGGGAGCAAACAGG